UGUUUUCUACAACAGAUCUUGUAGAAGUUCCAAGAAAGAUACAAGAAGCAAUAUUCAAAAUAACAAUCAAAAUGAAUCAUUAAUAGAUAUUGAAUAUGAAUCAACAAUGGAUAUCCAACAUCAAUCGGCAAUAGAUGUUCAACAAUCGACAAUCAUGACAAUUCAACAAUUCAACAUGACAAUCUUAUUUUGGCUAAACCAAUAGUUGUCGAGAAUACAGUAACACAUAAUAAUAUCAGUCGAAAAAGAAAACGAUGUAAUGAUAUGGAAAAGAUUUUCCUAAAGACUGGUAAAUAUAACAUAGAAUGUAUAAGAAAAACGGAAUUUGCUACUAAUCAAGCUUGGAGUAAGUUUGUAAAAUAUGUUAAUUAUAAUAGAUAUUUGCACAAACUUUCUGUGACACGAAAGUCACGUGUACAGAAGAAAAUAGUAACGAUGCAAUCUGUAAUACAAACAUUG